CAUUAAGCUACAAUGAUGUGCAUGUGAACUUCACUCGAGAAGAAUGGGCUUUGCUGGAUCCUUCCCAAAGGAUUCUCUACAAAGAUGUGAUGCUGGAGACCUACAGGAAUCUCACUGCCAUAGGCUACAAUUGGGAAGAUCAUAAUAUUGAAGAGCAUUGUCAAAGUUCUAGAAGACAUGUAAGGUAUGAAGGCAGUCAUAUUGGAGAGAAACCCUCUGAAGACAGUCAAUUUGGUGAAGUCUUUACACAAUCAGAGUAG